rnacentral:rRNA from 1 species
CGCGUAGGCGGGAUGGUAAGUCGGUCGUGAAAUCCCUCGGCUCAACCGAGGAACGUCGAUCGAUACUACCGUUCUUGAAAAGGAUUGCAGAGGAGACUGGAAUUCCCGGUGUAGCGGUGAAAUGUGUAGAGAUCGGGAGGAACACCGGUGGCGAAGGCGGGUCUCUGGCUCGUAACUGACGCUGAGACGCGAAAGCGUGGGUAGCAAACA